ensembl:lncRNA
GACAGUUUCCUCCUACUCUACAGAAGCAAUCAGACACCCUUCAUCCCCAGAUAAGAUGACAGGAGUUUGAAACAUAACAGUCAUGGAUGAACUCAUAUCUGCUAGUGACAGAUUUAGCAAUGCGAGGUGAUUAGCUUUGUUUACUCGUGCAGUAUCUGUCCCGUCUCUGAGCCGAGUCUGUGUCCUUAUCUCAGGCCGUUCUCAGCUUCUGUGAGGGGGCCGGCGGCUCUAUCUUGUUCUCGUAAACAUGUUGUAACAUGUUCCCCAUCACACCGUCACUAGUUAAUGGUUAAUGGAGGGCUGGGAGAGCCCCUCAGGACGCUAUUAGCCGAACCCCAGUCACAGCUACAUUCCUGCAGCCUCUGGGAGAGAGAUCUGGCUUUUUAUGGCGAUAGGAGGGCAGAUCCGUCAUAACCCGGGCUGGGAAAGUGCCAGGAGAAAGAAUAGACACGGUUUGGCCAUAGGCUUCAGAAAUACCAUUUUCUUGAAGGUAUCUGAAGUUCUUGAUUCUCCAUUCUCCCACUGAAAACCCAGAUGAUGAGGGGUCAUGGAUCAGGGAUCACUUCUCUCUGCUCCAGAUUAACCCCUGGCCUCCAUUUGCAAAGCCUUGAGGACUUCCUGACCAUAAGGUAAAUGAGGUAUCACAUGAGGUGAUAAUAUGGAUCUCCAUGCAGUGUAUAAGCUGCAUGCUCAUUCCCAGUCUCAUGAGUAAAGACAGGGCUUGUCUCAGAAGAGUUUUUAAUGCACUGCAGUGAUUGGGCUCCUCUGCAGAAUGCUGCUUUAGGAGGUGUUCAGUGACGUCCUGAAGUCUUUAGCCGAGCACAAUUAUCUGCUGGAAACAGUCAGGAGUUUAAAGCCGGCUAAUCCUGACUUUGAUUAACAUUCACCUCUAUUUCACUCCUCACCUGCCCUCUGUGCAGCAUCUGUCCCCACCAAACACUCUCAGACUGUCCCUGAUCUGGACCUGCUCCACAUAUUACUGAGGAAAAGCAGGUAUAAUUUAGUGCUGUCAAAUCAAUGAAUGGUGAUUGUUUACAAAGUAUAUG